rnacentral:rRNA from 1 species
CGUAGGGUGCAAGCGUUGUCCGGAAUUACUGGGCGUAAAGCGCGCGCAGGCGGCCAUUCAAGUCGGGGGUGAAAUCCCAGAGCUCAACUCUGGAAUUGCCUUCGAGACUGAGUGGCUUCGAGUACGGGAGAGGUGAGUGGAAUUCCCAGUGUAGAGGUGAAAUUCGUAGAUAUUGGGAAGAACACCGGUGGCGAAGGCGGCUCACUGGCCCGUUACUGACGCUCAGGCGCGACAGCGUGGGGAUCAAACAGGA